rnacentral:rRNA from 1 species
GCACAAGCGGUGGAUGAUGUGGUUUAAUUCGAUGCAACGCGAAAAACCUUACCUACCUUCGACAUGUACGGAAUUCGCCAGAGAUGGCUUAGUGCUCGAAAGAGAACCGUAACACAGGUGCUGCAUGGCUGUCGUCAGCUCGUGUCGUGAGAUGUUGGGUUAAGUCCCGCAACGAGCGCAACCCUUGUCAUUAGUUGCUACAUUUAGUUGGGCACUCUAAUGAGACUGCCGGUGACAAACCGGAGGAAGGUGGGGAUGACGUCAAGUCCUCAUGGCCCUUAUAGGUAGGACUACACACGUCAUACAAUGGCUGGUACAAAGGGUUGCCAACCCGCGAGGGGGAGCUAAUCCCAUAAAACCAGUCGUAGUCCGGAUCGCAGUCUGCAACUCGACUGCGUGAAGUCGGAAUCGCUAGUAAUCGUGGAUCAGAAUGUCACGGUGAAUACGUUCCCGGGCCUUGUACACACCG